UAGCUUAUAGCAAUUGGAUAAAGUACACUUUUGUAAGCAAAAUCGAAACAUUUACCUUUCUGUCUACCUGGUCCCUCCAGAUUUGAAAAUUAUUUGGUUUCUAGCCUCGCAGGAAGCAAAGUAUGUCACUCUCUGACAGGCUCAAGAACCUUGGAAUAUUUUGGGGACCUCAAGAAAAGAAGAAUUCACCCAGGUACCACUAUCGGGAGCCAAUUCGAUGGUGGAUCAAAGGUGUGUUGCGGUCACUUCCCUUGGUACCCAGAGCAGGCAGCCAGCUACUGUGUCAGCGAGCCCUGCCAGUGCCUCCAUGAUGUAUCAUCAAUGCGUCCACUUCUCUCCAUCCCUACUGCUGCCUUCUCCAGUCACGGCCACCGUCGUGUCUUGCCUGGACUACUCCAAUUGCCUCCUGACUGGUUUCCCUGCUUCUACCAUUGCCCUCCAUGCCUUGUGAUCCACCUUCCACAUGGUAGUCAAAAUGAUUCCAUUAAAAAUACCUAUCAUGUUACGCUA